UGGCGGACGGGUGAGUAAUGUCUGGGAAACUGCCUGAUGGAGGGGGAUAACUACUGGAAACGGUAGCUAAUACCGCAUAACGUCGCAAGACCAAAGAGGGGGACCUUCGGGCCUCUUGCCAUCGGGUGUGCCCAGAUGGGAUUAGCUAGUAGGUGGGGUAAAGGCUCACCUAGGCGACGAUCCCUAGCUGGUCUGAGAGGAUGACCAGCCACACUGGAACUGAGACACGGUCCAG
rnacentral:rRNA from 1 species